GGUCGCAUAGCUCAGUCCGGUUAGAGCGCCUGCCUCACAUGCAGGAAGUCCCUGGUUCGAGUCCAGGUGUGACCACCA
rnacentral:tRNA from 3 species